GUUAUUGUAGCUUAUUGCAAAGCAUGGCACUGAAGUUGCCAAGAUGGACAACGAACAUGCCCCAAAAACA
rnacentral:tRNA from 1 species